GAUGAACGCUAGCGGCAGGCUUAAUACAUGCAAGUCGUGGGGCAGCAGGGUUGUAGCAAUACAAUCGCUGGCGACCGGCAAACGGGUGCGUAACACGUACGCAACCUUCCCGUUACUGUGGCAUAGCCCAGGGAAACUUGGAUUAAUACCACAUAUUAUAUUGAGGGGGCAUCCCUUUGAUAUCAAAGCUUCGGCGGUAACGGAUGGGCGUGCGGUUGAUUAGGUAGUUGGCGGGGUAACGGCCCACCAAGCCUACGAUCAAUAGCUGAUGUGAGAGCAUGAUCAGCCACACGGGCACUGAGACACGGGCCCGACUCCUACGGGAGGCAGCAGUAAGGAAUAUUGGGCAAUGGACGAAAGUCUGACCCAGCCAUGCCGCGUGAAGGAUUAAGGUCCUCUGGAUUGUACACUUCUUUUCUCUGGGGCGAAAACCAGCUAUUCUUAGCUAUUUGACAGUACCAGAGGAAUAAGCACCGGCUAACUCCGUGCCAGCCGCCGCCGUAACAC
rnacentral:rRNA from 1 species